rnacentral:rRNA from 1 species
UACGUAGGGUGCAAGCGUUGUCCGGAAUUAUUGGGCGUAAAGAGCUCGUAGGCGGUUCGUCGCGUCGGCUGUGAAAACCCGGAGCUCAACUCCGGGCCUGCAGUCGAUACGGGCGGACUAGAGUUCGGCAGGGGAGACUGGAAUUCCUGGUGUAGCGGUGAAAUGCGCAGAUAUCAGGAGGAACACCAGUGGCGAAGGGCGGUGCUCUGGGCCGAAUGACUGACGCUGAGGGAGCGAAAGCGUGGGGAGCAAACAGG